GGGGCUGUAGCUCAGUUGGGAGAGCGCUUGAAUGGCAUUCAAGAGGUCAGCGGUUCGAUUCCGCUCAGCUCCA
rnacentral:tRNA from 1 species